rnacentral:rRNA from 1 species
GUGCCUUCGGGAACUGUGAGACAGGUGCUGCAUGGCUGUCGUCAGCUCGUGUUGUGAAAUGUUGGGUUAAGUCCCGCAACGAGCGCAACCCUUAUCCUUUGUUGCCAGCGGUUCGGCCGGGAACUCAAAGGAGACUGCCAGUGAUAAACUGGAGGAAGGUGGGGAUGACGUCAAGUCAUCAUGGCCCUUACGACCAGGGCUACACACGUGCUA